rnacentral:pre_miRNA from 1 species
AUAUUACUCCCUCCAUCCCAAAAUUCUUGUCUUAAAUUUGUCUAGAUACGGAUGUAUCUAAUACUAAAAUGUGACUUGAUACAUCCGUAUUUAGACAAAUCUAAGACAAGAAUUUUUGGAAGGAGGGAGUAUUUU